GUCCAUUUGAGGUCACAGAGAGAAGGCAGCCACAGUAAGCCAGGAAGAGAGCCCUGAGCAGAAACCAAAUUGAGUGGAAUCUUCAUGUUGACUGGAACCUUGAUGUUGGACUUUCCAGCCUCCAAAAACUGAAGAAGGUACAGCACUUACAGCCAUCUUGGUCAUCUUCUCUUCCCGUUCCUAAAUGGCACGAGACAUGCUCCUGCCUGAGGACAUUUGUGGCCUAUUUUCUCUUCCUCCAAAGCCUGAUGGCUAACCCUUUAACCUCCUUUAUGUUCUACUCAAAAGUGGACUGGGGGCAGGGGUUUGAAAUCCUGAGCUCAAGUGAUCCUCCUGCCUGUGCUUCCUGAAUAGCUGGGACUACAGCCAUGUGCCACCAUGCCCAGCCAGAAUCGCUUCUUGGGAUGUCUUUUUCAGUGAUGUAGACCAAUGCCACAAGUUCAAAAAUAUCUAACCUCUGAACCUCCUUAUAUUGCUGGAUUCAAUAGUCCCACACAGAAAUGCUGCUUUGAAUAGUAAAACAUAAUCUUAA